GGCCGAGGCUCGGGGUGAGUGAGGGGCGGCAGGGCUCUGAGCCUGGCGGGUUCCGGCUAUUCCCUUCGCGGUCCAGUUUAGUCCACUGCGAGGGCACCUGCAGCGCCGGGAUCUGAGUGCGAAACUCCGAGCGGAAGCUGGUCUGGCAGCCUCCAGGACCACUGGCUGCCCAUGAGAGACGAAGGAUGGCAUCCAAGGGGGCCGGCGUGUCUUUCUCCCGCAAGAGCUGUAGGCUGACCUCAGAUGCUGAGAAAUCCAGGGUCACAGGCAUUGUGCAGGAGAAGCUGCUGAAUGACUACCUGAACCGCAUCUUUCCUCUUCUGACCAUGCACCCCCAGCAGCCACCGGCAGGGACCCGCUGCAGCUGGGAGGGGAGCUGUCCAGGAGGCCGGCCUGGGAAUGAGCACAGGCCUGCGGCUGGCAGAGAGCCGGGUCGAGCCAGCCCUGGAGAAGCAGGCCCAGCUGGAGGAGCAGCUGCGGGACAAGGUGCUCCACGAGAAGGACCUGUCCCAGCAGCAGAUGCAAAGCGACCUGGACAAGGCUGACCUCAGUGCCAGGAGGGUCCCUGGUGGGUGCUGCAUGAGGCAGGCGUCACUGCAGAAGGUAAAACUGGAGAGUUGGGGAGAAGGGAGCAUCUGUUCACUAGGAGCAGGGCCUUCCUCUGUGAGCUCAGCCAGCCUUCCCAGGCACCCCACUGAGGUUCCGAAGGCAGUUGCCCAGUGUUUAUCAUAAACAGCUUAGCCUCCUAUGACAGAACUUGUGGCCGGGUGCUG
ensembl:lncRNA novel transcript